CAGUCGCCGCGGUAAUACGAAGGGUGCAAGCGUUAAUCGGAAUUACUGGGCGUAAAGCGUGCGUAGGCGGUUUGUUAAGUCUGCUGUGAAAUCCCCGGGCUCAACCUGGGAAUGGCAGUGGAUACUGGCAAGCUAGAGUGUGUCAGAGGAUGGUGGAAUUCCCGGUGUAGCGGUGAAAUGCGUAGAGAUCGGGAGGAACAUCAGUGGCGAAGGCGGCCAUCUGGGACAACACUGACGCUGAGGCACGAAAGCGUGGGGAGCAAACAGGAUUAGAGACCCGCGUAGUCCCUGUCUCUUAUAC
rnacentral:rRNA from 1 species